rnacentral:rRNA from 1 species
CACGUAGGCACCAAGCGUUGUCCGGAUUUAUUGGGCGUAAAGCGCGUGUAGGCGGCUUUGCAAGUCGGGUGUGAAAGCCCUCGGCUCAACCGAGGAAGUGCGCCCGAAACUGCAGAGCUUGAGUACCGGAGAGGAUGGCGGAAUUCCCCAAGUAGAGGUGAAAUUCGUAGAUAUGGGGAGGAACACCGGUGGCGAAGGCGGCCAUCUGGACGGAUACUGACGCUGAGACGCGAAAGCGUGGGGAGCAAACAGG